rnacentral:rRNA from 1 species
CCUACGGGAUGCAGCAGUGAGGAAUAUUGGUCAAUGGACGCAAGUCUGAACCAGCAACGCCGCGUGAAGGAAGAAGGCUUUCGGGUUGUAAACUUCUUUUCUCAGGGACGAAGAAAGUGACGGUACCUGAUGACUAAGCCAAGGCUAACUACGUGCCAGCAGCCGCGGUAAUACGUAGGUGGCAAGCGUUAUCCGGAUUUAUUGGGUGUAAAGGGCGUGUAGGCGGGAGCGCAAGUCAGAUGUGAAAACUCAGGGCUCAACGCUGAGCCUGCAUUUGAAACUGUGUGUCUUGAGUGCUGGAGAGGCAAUCGGAAUUCCGGGUGUAGCGGUGAAAUGCGUAGAUAUACGGAGGAACACCAGUGGCGAAGGCGGAUUGCUGGACAGUAACUGACGCUGAGGCGCGAAAGCGUGGGGAGCAAACAGGAUUAGAUACCCUUGUAGUC